UACGUAGGGUCCGAGCGUUGUCCGGAAUUAUUGGGCGUAAAGAGCUCGUAGGCGGUCUGUCGCGUCGGCUGUGAAAACCCGGAGCUCAACUCCGGGCCUGCAGUCGAUACGGGCAAACUGGAGUGUUGCAGGGGAGACUGGAAUUCCUGGUGUAGCGGUGAAAUGCGCAGAUAUCAGGAGGAACACCGGUGGCGAAGGCGGGUCUCUGGGCAACAACUGACGCUGAGGAGCGAAAGCGUGGGGAGCGAAACAGG
rnacentral:rRNA from 1 species